CAAUUAAAUCCACAGCGUGAUUCUAAGAAGCACGCAUAUAUGCACACUUGAUAUUGUUUAUUCUUACUGCUGAUUUGAGAGACUGAUUCAAACACCAAGUUCACAUAAUUGGCAUAUUGUAACUUUCCUAAAUUCAUUUAGAAAUUUAUUCCAAGUGCAUGCCAAAUUAGAAAUUUAUUUCAUAUACACUAAAUUUCCUCGAAAUUUAAUAUCCCGCAGAUAAAAUUUUGACUUUAGCUCAUCUCCCUUUACACAACUUCCUUAUAGCUUAAACCCUCUCUCGCAAAACCAUUUCUGAUUCAUAUCCCCAGAUUCUCGAAUUACUUUUAAACAGAUUCCAACUGAUUCGAAUUGAUUCUCUCUCUCAGUGUUCCUGUUCGGUUGUGGAUUAAGCAGAAUCAACAGACCAUGAGCGUACUAUCAAGAGACUAAUCAUCGAAAACAGGACCAAAAUGACCAUGGACCGAACUUCACCACCCGAAACCCCAUCCAGAGACCCCAAACCCAUCAAAGUCCUUUCUAUCGAGUGUCUCAAAGGUAGUUCCAAAGCCGACGAAUGGACUGGCGACAUGCUCCAGACCGGCGAUAUAGUUGAAGAAAUCAGGAUCGGGUCAGGUUCGUCUUCAGGAUCCGGGUCUUAUCAAUCGUUUAAGGCUCCGUUCAAGAAUGGAAAGAGUGGGGUCCAGAAGAUUCUUCAUGUCUCGUUUAAGAAUAAAGAGACUUCAAUUCUCGUUCGAGUCAGGCGAGGCCGGGACGAGUUCGCAGAGUUGCAAGCGUGUAUCGUGCCGGAGUCCGGAUCUAAAAAGCAGUACAUUUUGAGGUCUAUUGCUGAUCCCAAUUAUACUGUCGGGUUCUCAGAUCGGUCCGAGGCGGAUUGCUUCGAGUUGCAAGGUUCAAGAAGCUCCAGAAUUGCUAGUGCACUAUCCAGGGCUACACUUCAAGACGGAUAUGUGUCAUAUCCAUGGAUGAUGAGGAUGCAGGAGGUGCUACCAGUUCCGAAUUCUAGCUGCUUUCUUUCUAUACUACUCCUUCCUAAAGUUUCGGAUCGAGUUGCUUCUCGGUACAAUGACUUGGAUGACACUCUUGCAAGGGCGAAUACAUGGCUGUAUGCAUCUCAGGCCUCUGGGGUCCCUAUUGUUUUCAUGAAUAUUCAGACCGAGUCCCUGCUCACAAAGAUAUCUGGAGAGACAGCCUCUUCUACUGUGAAUG
rnacentral:misc_RNA from 1 species